UACGUAGGUGACAAGCGUUGUCCGGAUUUACUGGGCGUAAAGAGCGCGCAGGCGGUCGAUCAAGUCGAGUGUGAAAGCCCCCGGCUCAACUGGGGAGGGUCACGCGAUACUGAUCGACUCGAAGGCAGGAGAGGGUAGUGGAAUUCCCGGUGUAGUGGUGAAAUGCGUAGAUAUCAGGAGGAACACCGAUGGCGAAGGCAGCUCGCUGGGACGGUACUGACGCUGAGGCGCGAAAGCGUGGGGAGCGAACAGG
rnacentral:rRNA from 1 species